rnacentral:tRNA from 1 species
ACCUGGGUGGCUCAGUCAGUUGAGCAUCCGACUUCAGCUCAGAUCAUAAUCUCGUGGUUUGUGAGUUUGAGACCCACCUCGGGCU